rnacentral:rRNA from 1 species
UACGUAGGGGCCGAGCGUUGUCCGGAGUUAUUGGGCGUAAAGCGCGCGCAGGCGGCUUGACGCGCCCGACGUGAAAGCCCCCGGCUUAACCGGGGAGGGUCGUCGGGUACGGUCAGGCUUGAGGGCGGGAGAGGGUGGUGGAAUUCCCGGUGUAGUGGUGAAAUGCGUAGAGAUCGGGAGGAACACCUGUGGCGAAGGCGGCCACCUGGGCCGACCCUGACGCUGAGGCGCGAAAGCGUGGGGAGCGAACGGG